CGUUGUCCGGAUUAUUGGGCGUAAAGAGCUUGUAGGCGGUUUGUCGCGUCUGCUGUGAAAGGCCGGGGCUUAACCCCGUGUAUUGCAGUGGGUACGGGCAGACUAGAGUGCAGUAGGGGAGACUGGAAUUCCUGGUGUAGCGGUGGAAUGCGCAGAUAUCAGGAGGAACACCGAUGGCGAAGGCAGGUCUCUGGGCUGUAACUGACGCUGAGAAGCGAAAGCAUGGGGAGCGAACAGGAUUAGAUACCCUGGUAGUCCAUGCCGUAAACGAUGAGUGCUAAGUGUUGGUCUCAUAAGAGAUCAGUGCUGCAGCUAACGCAUUAAGCACUCCGCCUGGGGAGUACGACCGCAAGGUUGAAACUCAAAGGAAUUGACGGGGGCCCGCACAAGCGGUGGAGCAUGUGGUUUAAUUCGAAGCAACGCGAAGAACCUUACCAGGUCUUGACAUCCCUCUGACCGCUCUAGAGAUAGAGCUUUCCUUCGGGACAGAGGUGACAGGUGGUGCAUGGUUGUCGUCAGCUCGUGUCGUGA
rnacentral:rRNA from 1 species